rnacentral:rRNA from 1 species
AGAGGAACGCUAAUACCGCAUACGUCCUACGGGNGAAAGCAGGGGACCUUCGGGCCUUGCGCUAUCAGAUGAGCCUAGGUCGGAUUAGCUAGUUGGUGAGGUAAUGGCUCACCAAGGCGACGAUCCGUAACUGGUCUGAGAGGAUGAUCAGUCACACUGGAACUGAGACACGGUCCAGACUCCCUACGGGAGGCAGCAGCG